rnacentral:rRNA from 1 species
GUGAGGAAUAUUGGUCAAUGGGCGAGAGCCUGAACCAGCCAAGUCGCGUGAAGGAAGAAGGAUCUAUGGUUCGUAAACUUCUUUUGCAGGGGAAUAAAGUGCAGGACGUGUCCUGUUUUGUAUGUACCCUGAGAAUAAGGAUCGGCUAACUCCGUGCCAGCAGCCGCGGUAAUACGGAGGAUCCGAGCGUUAUCCGGAUUUAUUGGGUUUAAAGGGUGCGUAGGUGGUUUAAUAAGUCAGCGGUGAAAGUUUGCAGCUUAACUGUAAAAAUGCCGUUGAAACUGUUAGACUUGAGUGUAAAUGAGGUAGGCGGAAUGCGUGGUGUAGCGGUGAAAUGCUUAGAUAUCACGCAGAACUCCGAUUGCGAAGGCAGCUUACCAAGCUACAACUGACACUGAAGCACGAAAGCGUGGGGAUCAAACAGG